AAAUCUCUUGCAUGGGCCCAUGUCUCCUGAGCCAUUCUGGGGCUCACCGUCCAUUUCCCCGGUCACUUGUCUUCUCACCCAACACUGGCCUUCGAUUUGGAUGGCACCCUUCCUCAAGCCACAUAUACCUGGUUUACUGAUGGCAGUUUCUUUAUCCAUAAGGGUGUUCGACGGGCAGGAUAUGCCAUUGUCUCUCUGGACAAAACUAUCGAGGUAAAGCCCUUACCUCCUAACACCACAAACCAACAAGCUGAACUGAUCGCCCUUACACUUGCCUUCACUGUAGCACAGGGGUCCUCUCUUACUGUCUAUACUAAUUCUAAAUAUGCUUUCUAUAUCCUACUGUUCCACACAGCAAUCUGGAAAGAACGGGUACUUCUCAACACCAAGGGCAGCUCUA